ACUUGAUGAAGAUCUUCUGGUAUUAGACGAGUUAAAAUCUUCUAAAUCAGUAAAGUUAAAAGAGGAUCUACUCUCUCACACCACAGCUGAGCUUAACUAUGGGUUAGCUCAUUUUGUCAAUGAGAUCCGACGGCCAAAUGGAGAGAAUUAUGCACCUGACAGCAUCUAUUACCUUUGCCUUGGAAUACAGGAGAAAUUUGCUUAAGAUUCUGUAAGUGGUGGUGCAGAUAUAUAGUGUACGGCUAUAAAUCGCUAUAUUCAAGGACCAUCAUAUAUCUUGCAGUAGCAACCUAAAAGAUACGUGAAUAGGUUUACUUUUUUCUUAUUCUCGUUUUAUAGGUUUACGUGUACUUUGAGUCUCAUGCUUAGAUGAUAAUAUAGGUCCACCAUUCCACAAACCUCUGAAAACCAGAAUUUUUUUUCAUGAAAACACACUCAACAGUAAAACCUAACUU
rnacentral:sRNA from 1 species